AACGUUAUUCUGAGGCACUUGGACGGUUCUUCCCAAUGCUGUGCUGUUUCUUAUUUACCAUAAGAGGUUUUUUUGUGUUGUUUUUUUGUUUUACCGAAUAUCUGGGUAGUUAAAUCCCUAAACCCUUGCUUUUAAGUGUGAACAGCUAUAUUUGGAUUUGUCAGCUGUAUUGAUCAGGGGUGGCAGCUACCGCCUGCAGACAGGAUCCUGCUCACUGCCCAUUUUAUAACCAAUGUUUUAUUGGAACCCAGCCGUGCUCCGUUGUUUUAUUCUUGUCUGUGGCUGCUUUCAUGCUACAAUGGCAGAGCUGAGUGGUUGCAACAGAUCAUCUGACCCCGAGGCCUAAAUUAAUUACUUUUGUGGCCCUUUACAGAAAAAUCUUUGCUGACUCCUAGACACCUAUGCAGAACUGCCUUUAAUUUAAUUGGAUGGAAGCAGUUGUAUUCAGCUGUAAGAUUUCAUUUUAUUUGCUCAAAAAAAUUGAAAUAUGCUCACUUUUUCUGGGCAUAUCAUCAUCAAAAUAUUUAAAUCUCUUUUAUGUGCAAGAUCCGUGGCCCAUGGAAACUGGCAGGGGGUAGACUAGAAAAAGGUGCAGGAAGCGCAUCUGGCCUGCCUGACUUUGAACCUUACUCUGCCUGGGCCUGGUGACCAUAGGACCUUUUGUCAUCUGUGUGCCUUGAUUUCCUUGCCUGUAAAGAGGGAAUGACAAUAAAAUCUCCCGCAUGAGCUGUUGCAGGGUUAAAUGAAAUGAUGAAUGCAUGCCAUGGACUGCCCCCACUGGUUCCAUCUGGGUAUGCUUUUCAGACCACCCCAUCUUCUGUACUGUCAUUUCAAGUUCAACCCUUUCAAGUCAGAGAUCUUUCUGAAAACAAGUACACAAGCUCUUCCUUGAACAAUCGUGAAUUUUUUAUAACAUCUGUUUACUUAAUUUAAAAAAAAAUGUGUAACUAUGAAGAUUAACAAUGGACCUUAACUGGAUAUAAAUUCAGACAUA